rnacentral:rRNA from 1 species
UACGGGGGGUGCAAGCGUUGUUCGGAAUCAUUGGGCGUAAAGCGCGUGUAGGCGGCUUGGUAAGUCAGGUGUGAAAGCCCUGGGCUCAACCCAGGAAGUGCACUUGAUACUGCCUUGCUUGAGUACGGGAGAGGAAAGCGGAAUUCCUGGUGUAGAGGUGAAAUUCGUAGAUAUCAGGAGGAACACCGGUGGCGAAGGCGGCUUUCUGGCCCAAUACUGACGCUGAGACGCGAAAGCGUGGGGAGCAAACAGGAUUAGAAACCCCAGUAGUCC